rnacentral:lncRNA from 1 species
GCACUGGGGAGAAAUGAUUCAGAGAGAGGCCCAGCAGACGACUGGGGGUAUCAGGGAAAGCUUUGGGUUGAAAGGGACGGGCAGUCAGUGUCUGAAAGGAGCAGAGCAAGGAGCUCCUCCAAUGUCAGGUGCUCUGCACUUCACAUAUGAAGGACAUACCUUCCCCAACUUCACAGCCAACUAGUGCAGGUGGUGCAGGUAUAAAAGAGGCCACACACGAUCUUGGGGACCCUGAGGUGCUGCAGAAGCUCAGGGGCAGGGCAGCCCUUGCCUUCAUUAUAGCCCUGCUGUCUCCUUACUCAUUUCUAAAUCACUACCACUCUCCCCCACCCCCCGGCCCACGGUUCCAUUCUUCUUGGCAUUCACUGGGGUAGACAGUUUUAUUGUGAGAUCAUAAAGAACCUGAAGAACAUCAUAGUGGGGCAGAUGAGCAAGUGCCCAGCCAGGAAAGGUGUUUGGACUGAAGCUCAGUACUCUGAGGGUUGAGAAAUCAUCCAUCAGGUUUUUAGCAACAAAAUCCAAAGUUUGGGGCUCUAGUGACAAGGUCUGAGAACUGGGAAGUUGCCCCAUAGAUACAGGAAGUUGUUGCAGGUUCAUUUCAGUGCCAAGAUGAUACUUAGGUUGUAGAAGGCAGAUAGAGCACCUCAUGGUUCACAAGCUGCCACCCUCCACUGCACUUCCCAGAGUGACAAGUGAGUUCUUACCACCCUGGCCAGUUUCUACUGGGGCAAUGUGUUAAAAUACCACGAGAGACCUCAAGGUGGAGUUUCCCAUAUAGGCAUCUGAGCACCUGCCAGAAGCACCCCACCUCCUUGUAGAAUGACUGGACCAUUGUUUGAACAGCCUUGUCACUGUUUCCUCUACCCACACCCAUCUGUUCCCCUUUUUGGUUCCAGAGUGAUGGUGUUUUUUAGAACAGAAUCUUUAUAGAUCGAUCAGGGAGACAUACAUGGUUCCCCUCUUGUUUCCAGCUCUUAAGCUUCCUGUAUGCCACUCCCCCUUGACUGACCCCCAUCUCACCGCCCAUAAGCAGGCUGUCCAUCACUCACAUUAGCUCUGGCUUCGAAAUACGUCUGUAUUCCAGCUGCUGCUCACAUAGCCACUGUAACCCUGCCAGUUCAUUCCCCCCGUCAUCUCUGAUAGGAACCGAGUUUCAAAUUGUGUUGUCCAGAGAAACAGAACUAGUAAAGUGUGCAUAUAUAUGGCGAGAGACUCAUAAGGAAUGAGCUCACAAGAGUUUUGGAGGCCAAGUCCCAGUGUCUCCCAUCAGCAAACUGGAGACCUGGGAGAGCCAGUGUUUCAGUUUGGAUCCAAAGGCAGUGAAAAACCGGUAGCCGUCAGCCAAAGAGUUCCCUCUUGCUCCACCUUUUUGUUCUUGUUUGAUCUUCAGCUGGUUUGGUGAGGCCCACUCACAUUGGGGAGGGCCAUCUGCUUUCCCCAUUUCACCAGUUCAGAUGUAAAGCUCACCCAGAAACACCCUCACAGACACACCCAGAAUGAUUGACACCCACCUAAACCUGGGUACCCUGUGGCCCGGGCAAGUUGACACUUAAAAGUUAACUAUCACAUUUUCCAAACCCAGCUUCCUGUUGUCUCCUGCUUUAGUCUGCUCUCAACACAGCAGCCAGGGUAACCUUUUAAAGUAUUAAGGCAGGGGUGGGCAAAGGAAGGCCUGAGGGCCAAAUCCAGCCUGUUGGAAAUUUAUGUAUAGCCCAGAUGCUAAGAAGAGUUUUUCCAUUUUUAAAUGACUGAGGAAAAAAAGAACAAUGACAACUAAAAAUUUUAUCAAAUCCAAGUUUUAGUGUCCAUAAAUAUUGGAACACAGUGCUGCCCAUCCAUUUAAACAGCAUCUAGGGCUGCUUUACUCCACACCCUUAAGAGUUGAGUUGAGUAGAUGCAGCAGAAAAAACAAAACCUAAAAUAUUUAUAAGCAAGCCCUUUAAGAAGAAACUGGCUGACUCCCGUAUUUAGACUCACAACCCUCCAUGGCGUUUCAUCCCACUCAGAACAAAAGCUGUAAGAUCCUUCCAGUAAGUUGAAACUGGCCCUGCCACCUUCCUGACCUCUCCUGAUGUUGACUUGUGGUCAGGGGGCCUUCUGCCUCUGAGCUUUCACAGGUGCAGUUCUUCCCCCACCCCCAGUAUCUGCAGGGCUCAUAACACCUGCUACCACCAACUCUGUCAGCUCAUUGAGUUUCUGUCUCUGCCAGAUUGAAUGAAGACAGGAACAGGAACUUGAUUCUGUGGUAUCCCUAGAAUCACAUAUUGUGUGAAUAUUUGUUGAAUGCAUGAAUUGAAAAUAUAAGCAUUAUCUGAGAUAGGGGAUACCUAUUGGAUUAUCAGCAUGACUGUACUUUGCUCCCAGAAUAUGACUCUCCCCUGUCCACCCCUGGUUGGGCUAAUGAGCCGACUGCCUUCAGUGGUGUCAAAUCUGGGAUUUUCAGGGAGUUCCUGUUAUGGUUUGGUGGGUUAAGAACCCAAUAUAGUGUCUGUAAGGAUACAGGUUUGAUCCCUGGCCUUGCUCAGUGGUUUAGGGAUCCAGCGUUGCCGUGAGCUUUGGUGUAGGUCGCAGACGCGGCUCAGAUCCCAUGUUGCUAUCGCUCUGGCGUAGGCCUGCAGCUACAGCUCCGAUUCGACCCCUAACCUGGGAACUUCCAUAUGCCGUGGGAGUGGCCCUAGAAAAGGCAAAAAGACAAAAAUAAAUAAGUUAAUAAAUAUUAUAGGACAGUAUAGCUUUCUGUGUUAGACAGUAGGACCUUGUUUUUAUACAUUUUUAUACCCCGGUUUUCCACCCAAUAAGGUGGGAGUGCUUUAUAAGCAUUCAACAUAAAUAUGACUUUUAAUCCUGCAUCUUAUUCCAUCAAGGAACAGAUUUCCAUGGUAUGGGACUUGUAUGUUUCUUCCCAAUAUUUCUCUUACAUGAAAUAUUGCUUCGACCUCUGUAGGCAUUCUGGGUUCUGCUUGUAGCAGUGGAAACCUGCUCAUUUUGAAUGCUUUCCUCUUACAGGUGUUUAGGGGACCAUGAGCUGUGCUUUUACUGUGUGCUUCACACAGAUGCCAUGAACCUGUAUCCCCUUAGCAAUGUUUGCUCCUCUACAAGGCAGCUCUUGCAGUGCAAGUCUUACCUUGAAGUAGCUUACCUGCUGCUAAUUUACUUCCUUCCCCUUACAUAGAGCACUUGCUGCUAUAGAGAAGAUUCAUCAGCCCUCAGAUUUGCAGCCGGCACCAUCACAGGCCAGGGGUAGAGAUGGAGGGCUUUUUUCUGGCUGCCUAAACCUGGCUCUGUCACUUACUCUGUGUGACCUUGGACACCGUACAGCCUUGCUUCCUCACCCCCAAGACUGCCCUGAGCAUAUGAGCUGAUAGAGGUACCACAUCUGGUGCAUGGCAGAGGCUGGGAAAAUGUUAAGCAUUUGUGUUAAGAGGAGAGAAACUGAGGCUCCAGAGAAGUGACUGCCCCUAGUCUUGUGAGUUGUCUCCUCCAGGCCGCUGCUCCUCGAUGGUUUUCCAAGUUUGUAGGUGGUGGGGGUAGGGCAUGAGGAACUCGGUCUGCGUCUGGGGCAGAAUUAUCGUUUCCCCGGGCUGAGCCCAACUCUUCUGAGAAAGAGCUUGUGGCUCCAUGGGGGCCAGGGAGGAAAGGAGACUUCUAAGAGCAUGGGGCUCUGCAUUUGCUUGCCCUGGACCCCCACCCCCACCCCUAGUCAGUCCCCCUACCCCUGUGCCGCAGGUGGGGCCAACAGCACCCCAUUCAGAAUUGAACAAAUGACCAACCCCCCUGACCUUGUGGCCUGGGAGGGACUGGUCCCCACUCUAGGAUGACCAAUUCUUUCCAGUUUGCCCAGGGCUGACCCAGUUGUAGCAUGGAAGUCUGGCAUCCCAGGAGCCCCCUCCAUCCCAGGCAGGCUAGGAUGGUUGGUCACCCUCUGUGUAAACUGUCCACCCAGAGCCAGACCCUCACUGGGUCUUUCCUGCUGCAAAGUUGGGGCUGCUCCUGUGGCCAAAAUCUCAGCUGCCCCUGUACACUGAUGAAUGCAGAGACAGGAGUUCUUGUCGUGGCUCAGUGGUUAACGAAGGAUCCAGCAUUGCUAUGAGCUGUGGUGUAGGUUGCAGAUACGGCUCGGAUCCUGUGUUUCUGUGGCUCUGGAGUAGGCCGGUGGCUACGGCUCUAUGAGGACCCCUAGCCUGGGAAUCUCCAUAUGCUGCGGGAGCGGCCCAAGAAAUUGCAAAAAGACAAAAAGACAAAAAAAAAAAAAAAAAAAAAAAAAAAA